ACCCGCUGAACUUAAGCAUAUCGAUAAGCGGAGGAAAAGAAACCAACAGGGAUUGCCCUAGUAACGGCGAGUGAAGCGGCAACAGCUCAAAUUUGAAAUCUGGCUCUUUUAGAGUCCGAGUUGUAAUUUGCAGAGGGCGCUUUGGCUUUGGCAGCGGUCCAAGUUCCUUGGAACAGGACGUCACAGAGGGUGAGAAUCCCGUACGUGGUCGCUGGCUAUUGCCGUGUAAAGCCCCUUCGACGAGUCGAGUUGUUUGGGAAUGCAGCUCUAAAUGGGAGGUACAUUUCUUCUAAAGCUAAAUAUUGGCCAGAGACCGAUAGCGCACAAGUAGAGUGAUCGAAAGAUGAAAAGCACUUUGGAAAGAGAGUCAAACAGCACGUGAAAUUGUUGAAAGGGAAGCGCUUGCAGCCAGACUUGCUUACAGUUGCUCAUCCGGGCUUUUGCCCGGUGCACUCUUCUGUAGGCAGGCCAGCAUCAGUUUGGGCGGUAGGAUAAAGGUCUCUGUCACGUACCUCUCUUCGGGGAGGCCUUAUAGGGGAGACGACAUACUACCAGCCUGGACUGAGGUCCGCGCAUCUGCUAGGAUGCUGGCGUAAUGGCUGU
rnacentral:rRNA from 1 species